rnacentral:rRNA from 1 species
GUGGGGAAUAUUGGACAAUGGGCGCAAGCCUGAUCCAGCCAUGCCGCGUGAGUGAUGAAGGCCUUAGGGUUGUAAAGCUCUUUUGUCCGGGAAGAUAAUGACUGUACCGGAAGAAUAAGCCCCGGCUAACUUCGUGCCAGCAGCCGCGGUAAUACGAAGGGGGCUAGCGUUGUUCGGAAUCACUGGGCGUAAAGCGCACGUAGGCGGACCAUUAAGUCAGGGGUGAAAGCCUGGAGAUCAACUCCAGAACUGCCUUUGAUACUGAUGGUCUCGAGUAUGGAAGAGGUUGGUGGAACUGCGAGUGUAGAGGUGAAAUUCGUAGAUAUUCGCAAGAACACCGGUGGCGAAGGCGGCCAACUGGUCCAUUACUGACGCUGAGGUGCGAAAGCGUGGGGAGCAAACAGGAUUAGAAACCCGGGUAGUCC